rnacentral:rRNA from 1 species
GACGAACGCUGGCGGCGUGCUUAACACAUGCAAGUCGAGCGGAAAGGCCCUUCGGGGUACUCGAGCGGCGAACGGGUGAGUAACACGUGAGUAACCUGCCUCUGGCUUUGGGAUAACCCUCGGAAACGGGGGCUAAUACCGGAUAUGACUUCUCACCGCAUGGUGGGGGGUGGAAAGUUUUUUCGGCCAGGGAUGGGCUCGCGGCCUAUCAGGUUGUUGGUGGGGUGAUGGCCUACCAAGGCGGUGACGGGUAGCCGGCCUGAGAGGGCGACCGGACAGACUGGGACUGGGGCACGGGCCAGACUCCUACGGGAGGCAGCAGUGGGGAAUAUUGCGCAAUGGGCGCAAGCCUGAUGCAGUGACGCCGCGUGAGGGAUGACGGCCUUCAGGUUGUAAACCUCUUUCGGCAGGGACGAAGCCUUUCGGGGUGACGGUACCUGCAGAAGAAGCGCCGGCCAACUACGUGCCAGCAGCCGCCGUAACAC